UGAAAACGCUUAGAACUCCUGAUUUGUGUU
rnacentral:piRNA from 1 species